AAAUUGAAGAGUUUGAUCAUGGCUCAGAUUGAACGCUGGCGGCAGGCCUAACACAUGCAAGUCGAACGGUAACAGGAAGCAGCUUGCUGCUUCGCUGACGAGUGGCGGACGGGUGAGUAAUGUCUGGGAAACUGCCUGAUGGAGGGGGAUAACUACUGGAAACGGUGGCUAAUACCGCAUAACGUCGCAAGACCAAAGAGGGGGACCUUCGGGCCUCUUGCCAUCAGAUGUGCCCAGAUGGGAUUAGCUAGUUGGUGAGGUAACGGCUCACCAAGGCGACGAUCCCUAGCUGGUCUGAGAGGAUGACCAGCCACACUGGAACUGAGACACGGUCCAGACUCCUACGGGAGGCAGC
rnacentral:rRNA from 1 species